rnacentral:rRNA from 1 species
GUGGCGAACGGGUGAGUAACACGUGAGCAAUCUGCCCUUGACUCUGGGAUAACUGCGGGAAACUGUAGCUAAUACCGGAUAUUACCUUGGAAGGCAUCUUCUGGGGUGGAAAGAAUUUUGGUCAAGGAUGAGCUCGCGGCCUAUCAGCUAGUUGGUGAGGUAAUGGCUCACCAAGGCGACGACGGGUAGCCGGCCUGAGAGGGUGACCGGCCACACUGGGACUGAGACACGGCCCAGACUCCUACGGGAGGCAGCAGUGGGGAAUAUUGCACAAUGGGCGCAAGCCUGAUGCAGCUACGCCGCGUGAGGGACGACGGCCUUCGGGUUGUAAACCUCUUUUAGUAGGGAAGAAGCGACUGGGUUUUCCUGGGAGUGACGGUACCUGCAGAAAAAGCACCGGCUAACUACGUGCCAGCAGCCGCGGUAAUACGUAGGGUGCAAGCGUUGUCCGGAAUUAUUGGGCGUAAAGAGCUCGUAGGCGGUAUGUCGCGUCUGCUGUGAAAACCCGAGGCUCAACCUCGGGCCUGCAGUGGGUACGGGCAGACUAGAGUGCGGUAGGGGAGAUUGGAAUUCCUGGUGUAGCGGUGGAAUGCGCAGAUAUCAGGAGGAACACCAAUGGCGAAGGCAGAUCUCUGGGCCGUAACUGACGCUGA